GCUUAACCUUACAACACCGAAGGUGUUUUGGUGAGAGACGAGAGAGAAUUUGGCUUGUUCGAGGAUUGGAUGGCGUGGUGUAGCGAUACACGGCGACAUGAAAGGUUAGGACGUUGAAAGACGUCGAAAGAAUUUGCCUGGCGGCGAGAGCGCGGUGGUCCCACCUGACCCCAUGCCGAACUCAGAAGUGAAACGCCGUAGCGCCGAUGGUAGUGUGGGGUCUCCCCAUGCGAGAGUAGGGAACUGCCAGGC
rnacentral:rRNA from 1 species